rnacentral:rRNA from 1 species
GGAUUCCCCUAGUAACUGCGAGUGAAGCGGGAAAAGCUCAAAUUUAAAAUCUGGCAGUCUCUGGCUGUCCGAGUUGUAAUCUAGAGAAGUAAUGCCCGUGCUGGACCGUGUAUAAGUCUCCUGGGAUGGGGCGUCAUAGAGGGUGAGAAUCCCGUCUUUGACACGGACUACCAGUGCAUUGUGGUAUGCUCUCAAAGAGUCGAGUUGUUUGGGAAUGCAGCUCAAAAUGGGUGGUAAAUUCCAUCUAAAGCUAAAUAUUGGCGAGAGACCGAUAGCGAACAAGUACCGUGAGGGAAAGAUGAAAAGAACUUUGGAAAGAGAGUUAAACAGUACGUGAAAUUGCUGAAAGGGAAACGCUUGAAGUCAGUCGCGUUGGCCGGGAAUCAGCCUUGCUUUUGCAUGGUGUACUUUCUGGUUGACGGGUCAGCAUCAAUUUUGACCGCUGGAAAAAGGCCUGGGGAAUGUGGCAGCUUCGGCUGUGUUAUAGCCCCUAGUCGCAUACAGUGGUUGGGAUUGAGGAACUCAGCACGCCGCAAGGCCGGGUUUCGACCACGUUCGUGCUUAGGAUGCUGGCAUAAUGGCUUUAAGCGACCCGUCUUGAAACACGGACCAAGGAGUCUAACAUGCCUGCGAGUAUUUGGGUGGAAAACUCAAGUGCGUAAUGAAAGUGAAAGUUGAGAUCCCUGUCGUGGGGAGCAUCGACGCCCGGACCAGAACUUUUGGGACGGAUCCGCGGUGGAGCAUGUAUGUUGGGACCCGAAAGAUGGUGAACUAUGCCUGAAUAGGGUGAAGCCAGAGGAAACUCUGGUGGAGGCUCGUAGCGAUUCUGACGUGCAAAUCGAUCGUCAAAUUUGGGUAUAG